rnacentral:pre_miRNA from 1 species
AACAGGAUUGCUGGUUUGUAUGGUAAAUGUGUAUUGAACUUUAUAAGAAACUGUCAAAGUAAUUUUCAAAGUAGCUGGACCAUUUUACAAUUCUAGUAGCAAU